rnacentral:rRNA from 1 species
UACAGAGGGUGCAAGCGUUGUUCGGAAUUACUGGGCGUAAAGAGCGCGCAGGCGGUCGUUCAAGUCGCGUGUGAAAGCCCCCGGCUCAACUGGGGAGGGUCACGCGAUACUGAUCGACUCGAAGGCAGGAGAGGGAAGUGGAAUUCCCGGUGUAGUGGUGAAAUGCGUAGAUAUCGGGAGGAACACCAGUGGCGAAGGCGACUUCCUGGCCUGUUCUUGACGCUGAGGCGCGAAAGCUAGGGGAGCAAACGGG